rnacentral:lncRNA from 1 species
GCCCCCCGCUCAGCGAUUGGCCGAAAAAUUGGGGCUGGGACGGGAACCGGGAGCCCGGGAUGCGCUGGGCAGGUGAGACAGGUGAGACAGGUGAGAUGGGACAGGUGAGAUGGGACAGGUGAGAUGGACAGGUGAGAUGGACAGGUGAGAUGGGACAGGUGAGACAUGGACAGGUGAGACAUGGACAGGUGAGACAGGUGAGAUGGACAGGUGAGACAUGGACAGGUGAGACAUGGACAGGUGAGAUGGGACAGGUGAGACAUGGACAGGUGAGACAUGGACAGGUGAGAUGGACAGGUGAGACAUGGACAGGUGAGAUGGACAGGUGAGAUGGGACAGGUGAGACAUGGACAGGUGAGACAUGGACAGGUGGGACAGGGACAGGUGGGACAGGUGAGAUGGGACAGGUGGGACAGGUGAGACACAGGUGAGAUGGGACAUGGACAGGUGGGACAGGUGAGAUGGACAGGUGAGGUGGGUGGGACACGGACAGGUGAGACAGGUGGGACACGUGAGGUGGGACAGGUGGGACAGGUGACAUUGGACAGGUGAGAUGGACAGGUGAGAUGGGACAGGUGAGAUGGACAGGUGAGACAGGUGGGACAGGUGAGGUUGGACAGGUGGGAGAGGUGGGACAGGUGACACAGGUGAGAUAUGAACAGGUGAGGUGGGUG